rnacentral:rRNA from 1 species
AUGAAGGUCUACGAUUUCUACGUCAAGGAGAACAACUACACAAGGAUCUGCGAGCAGAAAAGCAUGCUCACCGUGAACGGCCAGUUCCCCGGCCCGACCAUCACCGCGCAAAAGGGGGAGGUCUUCAUUGUCAACGUCUACAACCAGGGCAAUAAACCCAUCACCAUCCACUGGCAUGGAGUGGACCAGCCACGAAACCCCUGGCACGACGGCCCAGAGUUCAUAACGCAGUGUCCCAUCAACCCUGGUGCCAACUUCACCUACACCGUUGUCCUAUCGGAGGAGGAGGGCACACUCUGGUGGCAUGCGCACACUGAGUUUGAUCGUGCUAGUGUCCAUGGCGCCAUUAUCAUCCACCCCAAGCACGGCACUGACUAUCCCUUCAAGAAGCCGCACAAGGACAUACCCAUCAUCCUCGGUGAGUGGUGGAAGGCCAACGUGAGUCAUAUUUUGGAGGAGGCCCUACGUACCGGCAGUGGCAUUAAUAUCUCGGAUGCGACAACUAUUAACGGCCAACCUGGAGACCUAUUCCCGUGCUCCGAGGAGAACACUUUCAAAGUGUCCGUGAAGAGCGGCAAGACGUACCUGCUACGAAUCAUCAACGCCGGACUCACCAACGAUCUUUUCUUCGGCGUCGCCGAGCACCUUCUCACUAUUGUCGGCACCGAGGGACGCUACUUAAAGCCAUUCACUGUCGAGAACAUCAUGAUUUCGCCUGGACAGACAAUGGAUGCACUCCUCCAGGCUGACCGUUCAUCCAAUAGCAGCUACUACAUGGCGUCGAGGACAUUCGCAUCAAGAACCAACUUGGUGUACAACAACAGCACUGCCACGGCCAUCCUUGAAUACAUGGACGCGCCGCCCAUUGCACGAUCGGAACCAUACUUCCCCAACCUUCCAGCAAGCGACAACAUAACUGCGGCAACAGAGUACACAUCCCAGCUUCGGUCCCUAGCCAGCAAGGACCACCCGGUGGAUGUGCCGACACAUGUCGACGAGCACAUGCUCAUCACCUUAGCCACAAACAUUCUCCCAUGUCAAUCAUGUGAAAAUGGCAACCGCCUCGCGGCAAGCCUCAACAAUGUCAGUUUUGACAACCCCCAAACCGAUAUCCUCGACGCGUACUAUUACUCCAUCACAGGUGUCUUCGAGAAAGACUUCCCCAAAAAACCACCAUUCUUCUUCAACUUCACCAACGACAGCUAUUCCAAGGAGUUCAGGCUCACAAAGGCCGGUACCAAGGUGAAAGUACUAAAUUAUAGUUCCGUCGUGGAGGUGGUGUUCCAGGACACGGCCAUGAGCAACGAGACCCACCCCAUGCACCUGCACGGCUUCGCCUUUUAUGUUGUAGGGAUGGGCGUUGGGAACUUUGACAAGACCAAGGACCCAUCCAAGUACAACUUGGUCGACCCACCAUACCAGAAUACGGUCACGGUGCCUAAGCUUGGGUGGACCGCGAUGCGCUUCCGUGCUACAAACCCUGGUGUGUGGUUCAUGCAUUGCCACUUCGACCGCCAUACAGUGUGGGGGAUGAGCACUAUGUUCAUCGUGAAGGAAGGCAACACUCCUGAAUCUAGAAUGAGGCCUCGUCCUAGUAACAUGCCUAAGUGC